CCCAUGGCAGGAUCCAGCCCAUGGGACUGCCAUCCCCAUGGAGCAGUGGGCCCUGUGCCACUCCCAGAAGUGGCCAGCACCAUGUCCCUUUGGCCCCUGGGGGAGAGGGAACAGAAGGCUCCGCACUGCUCUUGCCUGUGGGUACCUCCCCUGAAGCUCCCAUUGACUGGGAAUAGGUGUGGGGGGAAAUUAUGAGUUUAGGCUUUUCUGCUUGGCCUGGGCCCGCCCGGCGACUGACAGGCCCAAAACCCGAGCUAAGUUAUGUAUUGUGCUCCCUGACAAAGGUGGUCAGGGGUUGUAAUGCGGGGAGGGGGGGCCAGAGAGCAAGCGACGGAAAGCCCCAAAACCAGGACCAAUUCACAAUAUGUGCCUACUGCUGUUAAAAUAUAAUAGCCGCUUAUGUGAAGCAAUAAGGUGACCUAUAAGUGUGAAUCAAUCACAGACCAUACCUCCCCCUACUCCAUUUGUGUAACCGUGUCACCCCCUACCCCAUUUGUGUAACUGGACCCCAUAAAAGGACAACUGUGCAAUAAUCACCCAAUAAACCCCAAAAGACCGUAACUCAAAUUGCACCCAUACUGGGGGGAGGUGGCAAAAGAACAAUGGAAAGUACCAAGAGACCCUAACUCUCUAAUUCCUAAUAAGGUUGUUAUCUACAUGUGUAUAACUUAAUUCCUAAUAUGGACAAUUACUACUUAACUGUGUGUAAUUUGUUUGCGGUUUUAAGCUUUAAAAGGCUGCUGCGUGCUUAUCAUCAUGGGAGCAGUUCCAAUACUGCUACCCUCAACGCGUUGGUGUGUUAUCAAUGGGCCUCAGGCUUGAGUCUCUCAACUAAAAGUGAUGCGUGGGUGAAUUUUCCACAACAUGGGGAACCAUGGCCAACGGGAGCUUCAGGGGAGGUACUCACAGGCAAGAGCGGCAUGCAGAGCCCUCUGCCCCCCCUGCCCUAGGGACCACAGGGACCUGGUGCCAGCCAGUUCCUGGAGCGGUGCGGGGCUGGGGGCCUGUCCUCGCCCCGGUGCAUGCCACUGCCACCCCGGAGCUGCUACAGCCGUGCAAGGAGAUGGCACUAGAGAAGCACUUUUCCUCCCAUUCUGAGCUCUCCAUUUAUAAAUUACAUACCUCAUUAAGGCAUGGACCCCAAGAACAGCCACAGAGAAUGGGAUGCACUAGAGAGGCCAGGUCCCAGAAUCCUUAGAGUGGCUGCUCCUAGCUAAAGACAAUGUAACAUGACACAGGAGGUAAGCACUGGAGUCACCACACCAAUGACCAGACACGUCCUGAUAUGCCAGCGUGCGGAAACUUCCUGUGAGAUUUGCACCAGAUCAAGUAAAGCAAUAAACAUGGAAAUAGUCCUAUAUUUGGAGAAUAACCUAAAGAGCUAAGAUGAGUAAUUUUAUACACCCUAGCAGCUUAUAUUGUUCUUUAUGCUUUUCUGAGCAGGUUAGUGGCUGUGAAAAGAGGCUGUUUAACUGCACAGUGUAAAGAAAAAAAAUCUUAUAAAAGCCACACAAAAAAAUAAAGUUGGUGAUUUCA